rnacentral:sRNA from 1 species
AGUCCUGAGUCGUGCCACCAAAGUUGGCUGACACGUCAAGAUGCCCUGGGCUUUGUCUGCAGGUGCUGGAGCCACAGUAACGAGGAGUCCUUCAGCCCCUGCUCCUUGGCCUGGCUUUACCUGCACUUGCGGCUUCUCUGGGGUGCUAUCCUGCACUCAGCCCUGAUCUACUUUCUGGGAACCUUUCUGCUAUCCAUAUUGAUCGCCUGGACUGUGCAGUAUUUCCAGUCUGUCUCAGCAAGCGAUCCCCCUCCAAGACCAUCCCAGGCCUCCCCAGACACUGCCACGUCCACUGCAAGUCCAGCUGUGACUCCAGCUGCAGAUGCCUCUGACCAAGACCAGCCCACAGUAACUAAUAACCCGGAGCCACGUGGGUGAACUGUGCACUCCAGUUCUCUCCAGAUGAGAGAGAAUCUUUUCAACAGCUGGUAUUGGGAAGCUGGGGCCAGGGCAUGAUCCUGAUAAACACCUUAAAUGUCUUGUCAACUGGAUGCAAAUUUUGCAAUUGGUGUCAUUUUUUUUAAAAGUCAAAUUACAAGGAAGUACCCAGAUCAGGCAGUGGUAAUACCAAAGGUCAUCAAACACAUACAAGGAACAUCUUGAUCAUAGGGCAUGUGGGGAAGUUUACUGGGCCAUCACAGACUUUUGUUCUAGUGACUGUAUGUAUUAGGAGUCGUAGCUUGCCCUAUGGCAGAUCUGGAUUCUUAUACACUAAGAUGUGUCUUAAGAAUCAUAGUGCG